rnacentral:rRNA from 1 species
AUUGAACGCUGGCGGCAGGCCUAACACAUGCGAGUCGAGCGGAUGAAGGGAGCUUGCUCCUGGAUUCAGCGGCGGACGGGUGAGUAAUGCCUAGGAAUCUGCCUGGUAGUGGGGGAUAACGUCCGGAAACGGGCGCUAAUACCGCAUACGUCCUGAGGGAGAAGGUGGGGGAUCUUCGGACCUCACGCCAUCAGAUGAGCCUAGGUCGGAUUAGCUAGUUGGUGGGGUAAAGGCCUACCAAGGCGACGAUCCGUAACUGGUCUGAGAGGAUGAUCAGUCACACUGGAACUGAGACACGGUCCAGACUCCUACGGGAGGCAGCAGUGGGGAAUAUUGGACAAUGGGCGAAAGCCUGAUCCAGCCAUGCCGCGUGUGUGAAGAAGGUCUUCGGAUUGUAAAGCACUUUAAGUUGGGAGGAAGGGCAGUAAGUUAAUACCUUGCUGUUUUGACGUUACCAACAGAAUAAGCACCGGCUAACUUCGUG